AUGAUUAACAAAGCUCAACAAAAUGGCCUGCUGACUGGUUUAGCUGCUGAUCUCAUCCCAAAUGGGGUGGCCGUUCUGCAGUAUGCAGACGACACGAUCAUUUGCCUGGAACAUGACAUGGAGAAAGCAAUGAAUCUUAAGAUCCUGUUAUACAUGUUUGAACUGAUGUUAGGGUUGAAAGUGAAUUUUCAGAAAAGUGAGAUCCUGACUAUUGGGGGAGAUGCUGAGAUCGAUAAGGGGUAUGCUGAGCUAUUCAACUGUAAGAUUGGGCACUUUCCAAUCAAAUACCUGGGAAUGCCAGUCAGUUUUUCCUCUUUGAAAGACUCAGUGUGGGAAUUUAUUGUGGAUAAUUAUUUGAAAAAAUUUGGGACUUGGAUUGGGAAUGCUACCUCUAUAGGGGGCAGGCUUACUCUGCUUACCUCGGUGCUAUCACAACUGUCUCUGUACCACAUGUCGAUGUGGCUCAUGAGUAAGACCUUCAUAGAAAAAUUGGAUAAGCACCGAAGAAAGUUCUUCUGGCAAGGCUGCAAUAAGAAGAAUCGUUACUACCUGGUAAAAUGGAAGAGGGUGUGUAGAUCGAAAGAGAAGGGGGGCCUGGGGGUCAAAGAUCUCAGGAAACAGAAUAUCAGCCUUAUGGUGAAGUGGUGGUGGAAAGAUCUGGUUAAAGCGAGAUAUUUGUAUAACAAGUCUGUGGCCACGGUGUCCUCAAGAUAUUCUGAUUCGCCUUGUUGGAAAGCCCUCCUGAAAGUUAAAGACCUAUACAUGGUGGGGAGGCGAAUUGCUUUGGGGGCUGGCAAUCUGGCUAGGGUGUGGAAAGAUUCCUUGAAUGGUCUCCCACCACUUGAAUUAUCCUUCCCGCAGUUGUUUGCAAUCUGCACAGACCAAGAUUGCACAGUGGAAAACUUCGGUGGUGAUGUGCCCUCUUCGUUCUUUAGACGUCGCCUUGACCCUGAUCUGAGAGAACAGUGGGAUAAAUGCGUGCAUUAG
rnacentral:rRNA from 1 species